AAUGGAGCGGGUACAAGGACAGAGAUUUUUCGGGCAAGUGGCGUUAGGUAGCACCAUUGAAGGUCGGCACGGCACAUAAGGGGGUUGGGUGGUCAGCACCACGCUUGACGGCUGUUGUUUCCCCAGUGGCGAUGUUUACACACCUUAACCAGGUCGAGUCACACACCUUAACCAGGUCGAGUCGACCUAGGGGAGGCCCAGGACCCGUUCAGAUAAUCGUCACUGGUGCUGGUGGCCGUGAGCUGGAUUCUUACAUUCUUCUUGCUUUAACCCAAGCCACCCUUGCAAUAGAAGCAAUGUUUCACGUGUCUCAGUGGGUUUAUUUCUUCUGAUUAAACAGGAUACAAUAACACGAACCAUUUACUACUUGCAUAGAACCACUUACUUGACUGACCACGGGGAUGUGAUGAGUUUAUGUGCUGAGUCAACUCCUGACCAUGAUUUGUGUUCUGUGCUGCGCUGAUUAUUUAAUGUCUCAACCCCUGGCAUUGGUAGACAUAUGCAGUUGGUUGGUCCAUAUGUGCAAUCUGUCCCAGGCUCGUGACCUAAAGUGAGUUUGUGGAGCCACCGUGUGGUAGCUCUUGAAAUAACCUGACGUGAUAUUUAAUGCAAAGUGGGACAGGCUCAAAAUAGCACUCAUGCAGUUUGAUCAACGAUAGCAGAUGGCACCAUACAUUUGGUAUUUAUGACAAGAGAUUAAACAUUUUUUGCGGGGGGUGGGACAGCUUAUAAUUUUAGCAGCGCACAGAGGUGUGAAUUGAAUGUAUAAGAGCUCUCGGCCCAGACCACCAGCUUAAAAGAACCUGAAUGAAUAUCGCCAAGACCAAUUCAGAGUUGAGAAAAUGUGGCCAUCCCAACAGGAAGCAAUGUAACAAAAAUACAUAACUGUAGACCGUUUUUUUUUAAUCAUUUGGACUCGUCGGUCAGAGUACAGUUAAUGUUUGCUGCUGCCGUAUGCCUCUGGGAGCCCCAUAUAUGGAGAGGCCUUGUGAGCACUUGCCCCAGAGUAAUGAUAAUUUAUAUCUGUAAUUGAAGAUAAUUUAUCACAAAGUCAUUAAUGUAGACUUGGAAACAAACAGCUUUCACAACACACUUUGGUGUGUGUUGAGAAUAGCGUCCUGAAUUCACAUUUCAGCUAUUGGCAAAAAGCUGUAACCUUUUGGUGGUUUGGUAACUUACUCUUUGGUUCUUUCCGUAAAGUCAACCACAGAAAGAAAACUGCUGAAGUAGUCUUUGUUGUUCCACCUGAUGAAGAUUGCUCAUGUUGCGAUCGAAAAGUCGUGAUUUGUUUUAUUUUAUUUCUGCCUAUGUGACUUUACCGAAAGAACCAAAGAGUAUGGAUUCCUGCAGUCACAAAAGCCUCAAAUCAAGGUUUGGUAACUUGUUAUUACCUUCCUCUAAGCCUUGACCCAGUUUCGGAGUUCAAAUCCAAGACACCCACUGGACAUUAAACACGCACUCAUGUUUUGCGUAUGUGGUGUUCUUUGUGCAACAAUCUUUUCACUGGAAGUAAUCUUAAUUUUGUCAUCCGUGCCAAUUGCUUCUCACAACGAUGGUCACACGCAAAUGUGUUUGCUGAAUUCAGGCCGCCGCCUUGGUGGCACCGUAAGCGGCCGCAUUCCUCCGCAAUGUCACGAGUUCAGAUCCGAGUCUGGGUUCGACUCGGAGCCCCAUCCUUCUCACGGUGGAAUAAACAAAUUGCCUGCCGGAGAGAAGCCAACCGGGGUUGUCUUAUGGAGAGACUGGCUCUUGCCCCUUCACGAAUGUCGUAUCGCCACUGCUGGCUUUUAGGGGACACCAUCGGAGGUGAACACGGUCCAAGCCUCGUGAGAGCAGGGGAACCACUUGGACAUUGACAAUGUUCUUCACUCUAAUGGGCUUUAAGAGCUUUUUUAAAAUCUAUAUACGGGUGCUACGUUCCAUUAGGUUUUAGAACAAUACAGAGGAAAUUCGAUUUCUCAAGCAUCUUAAUGUGACCGCGUACCAAGAUGCUGUACAGGGAGUGAGGCACUUGCGUGCGCCUUGGGGCUUGUGAUAGAGGAAGGAUUAUUUUAAGAAGCCAAGGUGGUGAUUUUUGUUUGGUGAAGAGCAGGCUAGCACAUGGCAGAAAGGAACGGAAGACUUAAAUAUCAGAGGUCAUGCUCAAAUACAGUGAGGGAAAAAAGUAUUUGGUCCCCUGCUGAUUUUGUAUGUUUGCCCACUGACAAAUAAAUGAUCAGUCUAUAAUUUUAAUGGUAGGUUUAUUUGAACAGUGAUAGA